AAAUUUACCUAAAUAAUGGCCAUAAUAUUCGUCACUGCAACUUCUCUAUGUUAAUGGGAUUUUUAAUCCUAGCUAAUCGGAAAUCCUAUCCUAUUUAUGUACUAGGUCAAUUCAAAGAAUAUUGAAAUACCCCCCAACAAGAACCUUGAGCGGAGAGGAGAAGCAGGAUCUCUGGAAAUUUCGUUUUUCACUGAUGUCUGAAAAGAGGGCUUUGACAAAAUUUCUGCGUUGUGUUGAAUGGAGUGAUGUUCAGGAAGCAAAGCAGGCAUUAGAACUGAUGGGCAAGUGGGAGACAAUUGAUGUUUCUGAUGCACUGGAGCUUCUAUCUUCAGUUUUUGAGAGUGAAGAGGUCCGUGCAUAUGCUGUUACUGUUCUUGAAAGAGCUGAUGA